AGUGAACGCUGGCGGUAGGCCUAACACAUGCAAGUCGAACGGCAGCACAGUAAGAGCUUGCUCUUACGGGUGGCGAGUGGCGGACGGGUGAGGAAUACAUCGGAAUCUACUUUUUCGUGGGGGUUAAGGUAGGGAAACUUACGCUAAUACCGCAUCCGACCUACGGGUGAAAGCAGGGGAUCUUCGGACCUUGCGCGAUUGAAUGAGCGGAUGUCGGAUUAGCUAGUUGGCGGGGUAAAGGCCCACCAAGGCGACGAUCCGUAGCUGGUCUGAGAGGAUGAUCAGCCACACUGGAACUGAGACACGGUCCAGACUCCUACGGGAGGCAGCAGUGGGGAAUAUUGGACAAUGGGCGCAAGCCUGAUCCAGCCAUACCGCGUGGGUGAAGAAGGCCUUCGGGUUGUAAAGCCCUUUUGUUGGGAAAGAAAAGCAGCAGGUUAAUACCCCGCUGUUCUGACGGUACCCAAAGAAUAAGCACCGGCUAACUUCGUG
rnacentral:rRNA from 1 species